rnacentral:rRNA from 1 species
GACGAACGCUGGCGGCGUGCCUAAUACAUGCAAGUCGAACGCUUCUUUUCCGCCGAACUUCGGUUCAUUGGAAAAGAGGAGUGGCGAACGGGUGAGUAACACGUGGGUAACCUGCCCAUCAGAGGGGGAUAACACUUGGAAACAGGUGCUAAUACCGCAUAACGCUUUUUCUCGCAUGAGAGAAAGCUGAAAGGCGCUUUUGCGUCACUGAUGGAUGGACCCGCGGUGCAUUAGCUAGUUGGUGAGGUAACGGCUCACCAAGGCAACGAUGCAUAGCCGACCUGAGAGGGUGAUCGGCCACACUGGGACUGAGACACGGCCCAGACUCCUACGGGAGGCAGCAGUAGGGAAUCUUCGGCAAUGGACGAAAGUCUGACCGAGCAACGCCGCGUGAGUGAAGAAGGUUUUCGGAUCGUAAAACUCUGUUGUUAGAGAAGAACAAGGAUGAGAAGAGAAUGUUCAUCCCUUGACGGUAUCUAACCAGAAAGCCACGGCUAACUACGUG